AACGAACGCUGGCGGCAUGCCUAACACAUGCAAGUCGAACGAGACCUUCGGGCCUAGUGGCGCACGGGUGCGUAACGCGUGGGAACCUGCCCUUAGGUUCGGAAUAACUCCCCGAAAGGGGUGCUAAUACCGGAUAAUGUCUUCGGACCAAAGAUUUAUCGCGUUUGGGUGGGCCCGCGUUGGUUUAGCUAGUUGGUAGGGUAAAAGCCUACCAAGGCGACGAUCCAUAGCUGGUGUGAGAGGAUGAUAAGCCACAAUGGGACUGAGACACGGCCCAGACUCCUACGGGAGGCAGCAGUGGGGAAUAUUGGGCAAUGGGCGAAGGCCUGAUCCAGCAAUGCCGCGUGAGUGAUGAAGGCCUUAGGGUUGUAAAGCUCUUUUACCCGGGAUGAUAAUGACAGUACCGGGAGAAUAAGCUCCGGCUAACUCCGUG
rnacentral:rRNA from 1 species